rnacentral:rRNA from 1 species
AUUGAACGCUAACGGCAUGCUUAACACAUGCAAGUCGAACGGCAGCACAGAAGUAGUAAUACUGUGGGUGGCGAGUGGCGGACGGGUGAGUAAUGUAUAGGAAUCUGCCUUGUAGUGGGGGAUAACCUGGGGAAACUCGGGCUAAUACCGCAUAAUCUCUACGAGGCAAAGCGGGGGCUUGUAAGACCUUGCGCUCUAAGUUGAGCCUAUAUUGGUUUAGCUAGUUGGUGGGGUAAAGGCCUACCAAGGCGACGAUCUGUAGCGGGUCUGAGAGGAUGAUCAGACACACUGGGACUGAGACACGGCCCAGACUCCUACGGGAGGAAGCAGUGGGGAAUAUUGGACAAUGGGCGGAAGCCUGAUCCAGCCAUGCCGCGUGUGUGAAGAAGGCCUUAUGGUUGUAAAGCACUGUUAGUUGGGAAGAAAAGCUCAAGGUUAAUACCCUUGAGUGAUGACGUUACCAACAGAAGAAGCACUGGCUAACUCUGUGCCAGCCGCCGCCGUAA